UGCAAAUCACUCUGCUGCUAGAGCCUCAUUGGCCGCUUGUGGCUCAUUUAACCGCUGUCAGUGCGCAUCAUAUGGCCGCCGCUUUAACCAACUUCUCAACUCCGACAGGGAAAGUAGCUCAAUGCGCAUUCUAUCACAGUGGAUGUGAACCAACCCAGGCGAAUACAGGGUGAAAUAUACUGGUUGGAGAACAUUUUAUAUCCCUUUUCGGAUUAUUUUUUAUCUCGUAUUUGAAUCAUUUGGGGUUAGAAUAUUUAAUUUUGCAACCAAGUCAUCCUGUGCGCACCCGAUCUUGUGCGCGCCUAUCUUGAAAUAGACUUUUUCUCUGUUGGUGGCGAAGUUUAAAAUCAGGUGAAUGUAUAGCAUGAUGAUGGAAACUGACCUCCAUUCCCCUGGCCCCCAAACGAACACUACCACGGGGCAAACGGGGCCGAACAGCGGGUCCAAAGCGAAUCAGGAACGGGUGAAGAGACCGAUGAACGCGUUCAUGGUGUGGUCCCGUGGGCAGCGGAGAAAGAUGGCACAGGAAAACCCCAAAAUGCACAACUCAGAGAUCAGCAAACGGCUGGGCGCCGAGUGGAAGGUGAUGUCCGAGGCUGAGAAGCGCCCUUUCAUCGACGAGGCGAAACGGUUGCGAGCUAUGCACAUGAAGGAGCAUCCGGAUUACAAGUACCGGCCAAGACGGAAGACCAAGACGCUGCUGAAAAAGGACAAAUAUUCCCUUGCCGGUGGACUGCUUUCUGGGCCCAGUGGGGGCGGUGGAGUUGGUUUAGGGGUCGGAAUGAGUUCAUCCGGGGUCGGGCAGAGGUUAGAGAGCCCCGUGGGUCACGUAGGCUCCGCCAGCUCCGGCUAUGCGCACAUGAACGGCUGGGCGAACGGUGCGUACUCGGGGCAGGUGGCUGCAGCCGCGGCUGCGGCAGCGAUGAUGCAGGAAGCUCAGCUAGCCUACAGCCAGCACCCGGGGAGCGGAGCGCACCACCACCACCACUCACACCACCAUCACUCACACAACCCCCAGCCCAUGCACCGCUACGACAUGACAGCCCUGCAGUACAGCCCCAUCUCGAACUCUCAGGGCUACAUGAACACUUCUCCAUCCGGCUACGGUGGGAUCACCUACACACAGCACCAGGGCUCCGGCGUCUCCUCAGCUGCCAUGGGGACGUUAGGGUCGCUCGUGAAGUCGGAGCCGAGUAUUUCUCCGUUGUUGGAAUAGCAUCUGCACUGGAACUUUUUGACAAAAGCUUGUUCCACUGCCCCCAAGUGGCCAAAAAUGUAUUUAUGCAGCUUUAAGUGGAGUAGCAAAUAGCUGCACCACCAGAGGCUGCACUUUCACGACCACAUUUUCAGGAUCACAAUUGUAGGACCCUAACUAGAGGAAGGGUCUUGCAAAGAAAGCGAGUGGGAUUCAUAAUGACGCGACAGGACCGCAUUACCACCAAAAAUGGAAGAAGAGCACAUCAAGCCAAGUUGAAGUGGAGGAAUUCUGCAGACGAUCGGAAAAACAAAUAAGAAAAGAAGGAAGACCACUCAAUUAAAAGGAAUCAUUGAGACUUGAAAGUGUUUGAUUAUGUGAAGAACAGAAAUGGCAGACAAGAAAUAAUUAAAACUGUCAUUCUCCUGUUUGUCUGUAUUUCAUGUGAAAAUUGCCAAAAUUAAAAACUUUUUGACUUA